AGUAUCCCCUUUCAUUCCCCAAUCCGCUGCCUCCUCUUCCCCGGACCCUCCCCAAAUUCCCGCCUCCUCUCCUCCUUCCCACUCCGUCGCCUCUGCACCCUGGCCGUCGUCCCUCAUCAGCCGCCGCCGGCCUUCUCGCUGGGGUGGAGGAGUAGGGGAUCCCACCAGAUCCGACCUGCAGGCAAAGGGCGACGGCGGGGGCGCUUGAUUCUAUCCAGCACCAGCUCCAUGGACCGGUCCAUGCAGGAGAGAGAGGAGGGAGAAAGAGAGAGCAAAGAGGAGUGGCGGAUGACGAGAGGAGGGAGAAAGAGAAAGGAAAUAGGAGAGGGAGGCUCAACAGCGGACGGGACAGGGUCGCCGGCCGGUGUCGGCCUGCGCCGGCGAGGUCGCUCGCCCAGUUGCCAAGGAGGGAAAGGCGACGGGGACCGGCAUCCGGGGCGGCGGCGGCGGGACUGCAGGAACUGGCCGAGGUGGUCCUCGCCAAACAAGCGGGUGGCAGCAAGGUGCUCCCCACGGUGAGGAAUGGACGCGCUCAACGCCUUCCUUCCCAACCAGAUAUGAGAAAGAAGAAAUAGGACCAAGAAAAUUAGUUGCUCAUAUAUUCAUGUGUCGUGCAGAGAAGAACCCGAAUGGAGAACUUGGUAUGCCGAGUAAUAUGCAUGUACAGAAUUAUCAUCAUAGCAAAUAGAAUUAUUUGAAUAUUGUUUGGAGGAUAACAAUUCCUCAAAUUGGCUCAUUUAAUUUAGACAGUACGCCCAGUUAUUGUUGUCUUGGUUACUCCAUUCACUACAAAAAAAUACACUUCCGUGAUGAUA